AGAGUGAUCUAGCAAAGUGUGCUGGAAGAGAGAGUGGAAGAACGGCCACAGAGAAGGGGAAAGAAAAUAAUGCCUUCUAUUUUUUUGAAAUGUCCAGCUUUAAUGCCUGUGGGUCAUGCAGACAGCUGGGCAUAGGCUGAAAUUAAUGAGGAAAUCUGUACUAGAGACAUAACUUUUGCAAUCUGGCAGCUUUGAGAGAGUCAUUAAAUCCACGGGAGUGGAGGAAAUCACCCCGAAGCAGACCUACAGGAGAACCCUGCUGGUCACCUUUAGCUGGAAGAUGAACAGAGGAAUGAGAGAGGCUGAACCAGACCAAGAUUCCAGAAAAGCAGGAAAAACACAAAGCGCACAGCCUGUGAAGCAGGGAGGAGACAGAACAGGGCUACAUAUUUUGCUGGAAAUUCAAAAUCUCCCAGGCUGGAGUACAGAGGCAUGAUCUCGGCUCACUGCAAACUCCACCUUCCAGGUUCAAAUAGUUCUCCUGCCUCAGCCUCCCAAGUGGCUGGGACUACAGGCACAUCACCACACCCAGAUAAUUUUUGUAUCUUUAGUAGGGAUGGGGUUUCACCAUGUUGGCCAGGCUGGUCUCGAACUCCUGACCUUAGGUGAUCCACCAGACUUGGCCUCCCAAAGUGCUGGGAUUACAGGCGUGAGCCACUUCGUCCAGCCUGUUAUAAUAUUUCUUGAUGAGAAAAUAAUCCAUAUUACCUACAUUCAUAUUAUUACCAUCUACCCUGUGAUGAAUUUUAAAUAGCCUGAAAUUUUUGGCCGCUCCUCCCAUUAAGAAGUGGAGUGUGCUUCCCCUUCCCUUGAAUCUGGGUUGACCUCCUGGCUUCUUUUUACUAACAGAAUGUGGUUGAAACACUAGUAUGUAACUUCAGAGACAGACUUAAGAGAGCAACUUAAGAGAGAGCUUUGACUUUUAUGCACUUGGAACAGAUCUUCUUGGAAUCCCACCAUCAUGCUGUGAGAAGCCCAGCCUCACGCAUAAACUGUGGGUUGCGGGGGAUAACUGAGGCUCUGGGGCCAACAGACUCAGCUGGCUUCUCAGCCAACAGCCAGCACUGACAGCCAGUCAGGUGAAUGAGCCAUUUGCGAUGUUCUUUCCAAUCAAGCCUCCAGAUGACUGCAGCCUCCCCGUGUCGCCCCCCUCCUCCCCUCCCUUCACCAACACCGUCUGGAGCUGAAGGACCACCCAGUUAAGCCCAGUCAACACUCGGAAAUGUGAGAAACAAUAAAUGAUGCUACUAUUUUCAGGUGCUACGUCUGAGAUUGUUUGCUAAGCACCAGUAGAUCACCAGACAUUCGCUUUCCAUCCUCACCUCUCUGGCGAAGCAGUUCGAGAACAGUCAUCUUAGUCUCAGAAUUUUGUAACCUUUUUGAUUUGUUUUUCUUUCUUGACAACUGCAAGACAUACGAUACUAAUUAAAUUCUUUUUCUUUCUUCA